rnacentral:lncRNA from 1 species
ACCUAAGUCUGAAUUAGUUUGUCUUUGGCAGAGUCUGGUGCUGAGUCAGGUUGAUUGCUGAUUGCCCCUUGGACUAUACCAUCUGCACUGAGGUUUUGAUGCUGGCUUCUCUGACCCUGUGCAUCCUUCCUAGCUGGACAAAUCCGGAUCUAUGGUGAUGUACUUUGGAGACACCCAGAUGGCCACUUGGCUCUCUCACCUGAAAUUUAGUCACUGGCCUUUACAAGAUCAUUCAACAUGGGAGAAAGAGACUAAAUCAUGUCUUCUGCCAACAUUGAUGAGGAAGUUUUACUCCUAUCUGAAACAGUCUUCUUGCAAACUCCAGGAAUUCCAACCUUGAGUUUAUGGCUCUCAACUAAAAGGAUGUAAAAGCUACUCUGAAUGGAAGUUCAACUCAAUUGGAGAUCUUAAGGUAAUCCAUGCUCUGUUUUUUCAGACCUCUAGAAUACAAUGUCUACACAGCAAAUUAGACAGCUUUCCCAAAAACUUCCUACCAAGCAGAUGACAGCUUUACCAACGUAGCUCUACCAACAACAUUGGAACAAAACACUGUGAGAUUUUCCUUCCUAUACAUAUAUUUUUACCAUUUUCUUUCUCCUAUGUUCCUCCAUUGUCACCUUUGCUGUCCAUAUAACUUUCCUCAUUGUAACUGCAGACUUUCAUAAUGAGUCCUUGUAGUAUUUCUGUCUCCUCUUCACAAAAGCUUCUUUAAUAAUUAUUCCAUCUCAGUACUCUAUAAGAACCCCAGAAUCUAUGGGUAUUCUUUUACUCCAUGUGUAGCACAAUCUCAAAACCUUACUUUUAAUUGCUGAUUAUAUACUCUUUUUUCCUUUGGAAGCCUCUAGUUUAUUCCAAAUUCCUAUACCACUAUUAGGCUAAUGGGCAUUUGUUAUGGGCUGAAUUUUACUCUGUUCCAAAAAUUCACAUGCUGACGUUCUAACUCUCAGCAUUUUAGAGUAUGAUUGUACAUGAAGAUAUUAUAGAAUUUUUACAGAAGUAAUUAAGUGAAAAUAAAGUUGUGAAAUGGACCCGAAUACACUGUGACUGGUAUCUUUAUAAGAGAGGAAAGUUGGACAGGAAUAUGUGCAGAGGAAAGACUAUGUAGAGACGCAAGGAGAAGACAGCAUCUAUAAACCUAGGAGAGAAGCCUGGAACAGGUAUUUCUUUCAUGGUCCUGAGAAGAAACCAACUCUGCCAACAUUCUGAUCUCAGACUUCUAGCCUCUAGACCUGUGAGAAAAUAAAUUUCUGUUGGUUAAGGCACUCAUUAUGCAGCAUUUUGUCACAGAAGUCCUAGCAAGAUAAUCCUCUAUUUUUUAUAUUAUCACUUUGGAGCCCUUUAGCUUUUUCCUUUAGACUUCAAAAGGAGUCUUCUUCAAUAUCGAUAGUUUUCAAUAGGGCAAUCUAUGCUUCCACCACAUCACCAAAGGCCUUUUCGUGGGCUUAAGUAUUUG